rnacentral:tRNA from 1 species
GGGUUCUUAGCUCAGCUGGUAGAGCAGCGGACUCUUAAUCCGUAGGUCGACAGUUCGAAUCUGUCAGGACCCACCA